rnacentral:rRNA from 2 species
UACGUAAGGUCCGAGCGUUGUCCGGAAUCAUUGGGCGUAAAGGGUACGUAGGCGGAUAAGCAAGUUAGAAGUGAAAUCCUAUAGCUCAACUAUAGUAAGCUUUUAAAACUGCUCAUCUUGAGGUAUGGAAGGGAAAGUGGAAUUCCUAGUGUAGCGGUGAAAUGCGCAGAUAUUAGGAGGAAUACCGGUGGCGAAGGCGACUUUCUGGCCAUAAACUGACGCUGAGGUACGAAAGCGUGGGUAGCAAACA